GACAGAGGAUGCAAGCGUUGUUCGGAAUUACUGGGCGUAAAGGGCUCGUAGGCGGUUUGUCGCGUCUGCCGUGAAAGUCCGGGGCUCAACUCCGGAUCUGCGGUGGGUACGGGCAGACUAGAGUGAUGUAGGGGAGACUGGAAUUCCUGGUGUAGCGGUGAAAUGCGCAGAUAUCAGGAGGAACACCGAUGGCGAAGGCAGGUCUCUGGGCAUUAACUGACGCUGAGGAGCGAAAGCAUGGGGAGCGAACAGG
rnacentral:rRNA from 1 species